AGCAGUCGCCGCGGUAAUACGUAGGUGGCAAGCGUUGUCCGGAAUUAUUGGGCGUAAAGCGCGCGCAGGUGGUUUAAUAAGUCUGAUGUGAAAGCCCACGGCUCAACCGUGGAGGGUCAUUGGAAACUGUUAAACUUGAGUGCAGGAGAGAAAAGUGGAAUUCCUAGUGUAGCGGUGAAAUGCGUAGAGAUUAGGAGGAACACCAGUGGCGAAGGCGGCUUUUUGGCCUGUAACUGACACUGAGGCGCGAAAGCGUGGGGAGCAAACAGGAUUAGAUACCCCGGUAGUCCCUGUCUCUUAUAC
rnacentral:rRNA from 1 species